rnacentral:rRNA from 7 species
GAGUGAACGCUGGCGGUAGGCCUAACACAUGCAAGUCGAACGGCAGCACAGAGGAGCUUGCUCCUUGGGUGGCGAGUGGCGGACGGGUGAGGAAUACAUCGGAAUCUACUUUUUCGUGGGGGAUAACGUAGGGAAACUUACGCUAAUACCGCAUACGACCUACGGGUGAAAGCAGGGGACCUUCGGGCCUUGCGCGAUUGAAUGAGCCGAUGUCGGAUUAGCUAGUUGGCGGGGUAAAGGCCCACCAAGGCGACGAUCCGUAGCUGGUCUGAGAGGAUGAUCAGCCACACUGGAACUGAGACACGGUCCAGACUCCUACGGGAGGCAGCAGUGGGGAAUAUUGGACAAUGGGCGCAAGCCUGAUCCAGCCAUACCGCGUGGGUGAAGAAGGCCUUCGGGUUGUAAAGCCCUUUUGUUGGGAAAGAAAUCCAGCCGGCUAAUACCUGGUUGGGAUGACGNACCCAAAGAAUAAGC